GAUGAACGCUGGCGGCGUGCCUAAUACAUGCAAGUCGAGCGAAUGGAUUAAGAGCUUGCUCUUAUGAAGUUAGCGGCGGACGGGUGAGUAACACGUGAGUAACCUGCCCUUGACUCUGGGAUAACUGCGGGAAACUGUAGCUAAUACCGGAUACGACCCUCGGAGGCAUCUCCUGGGGGUGGAAUGAAUUUCGGUCAAGGAUGGACUCGCGGCCUAUCAGCUAGUUGGUGAGGUAAAGGCUCACCAAGGCGACGACGGGUAGCCGGCCUGAGAGGGUGACCGGCCACACUGGGACUGAGACACGGCCCAGACUCCUACGGGAGGCAGCAGUGGGGAAUAUUGCACAAUGGGCGCAAGCCUGAUGCAGCAACGCCGCGUGAGGGAUGACGGCCUUCGGGUUGUCAACCUCUUUUAGCAGGGAAGAAGCGAAAGUGACGGUACCUGCAGAAAAAGCACCGGCUAACUACGUGCCAGCCGCCGCCGUAAUAC
rnacentral:rRNA from 1 species